GAUGAACGCUGGCGGCGUGCCUAAUACAUGCAAGUCGAGCGAACAGACGAGGAGCUUGCUCCUCUGACGUUAGCGGCGGACGGGUGAGUAACACGUGGAUAACCUACCUAUAAGACUGGGAUAACUUCGGGAAACCGGAGCUAAUACCGGAUAAUAUAUUGAACCGCAUGGUUCAAUAGUGAAAGACGGUUUUGCUGUCACUUAUAGAUGGAUCCGCGCCGCAUUAGCUAGUUGGUAAGGUAACGGCUUACCAAGGCAACGAUGCGUAGCCGACCUGAGAGGGUGAUAGGCCACACUGGAACUGAGACACGGUCCAGACUCCUACGGGAGGCAGCAGUAGGGAAUCUUCCGCAAUGGGCGAAAGCAUGACGGAGCAACGCCGCGUGAGUGAUGAAGGUCUUCGGAUCGUAAAACUCUGUUAUUAGGGAAGAACAAAUGUGUAAGUAACUAUGCACGUCUUGACGGUACCUAAUCAGAAAGCAACGGCUAACUACAUG
rnacentral:rRNA from 1 species